rnacentral:tRNA from 1 species
UAGGCCUUAAGUUAACUAAACUAAUAUCCUUCAAAGCUAUAAAUAAAGGUUAUUCCGCAACCCUUUAGGUCUUG